UAUGUUUCCAAAGCAGAGCUCUUUAAACUCUGUUUUCUUUUCUCCCCUUCUCUCUCUCUCUCUCUCUCUCUCUCUCAUUCUCUCUCUCAUACUAAUGUGCCCACACCCACACCACUUCUCUCUCCCUUUGUUUCAGAAUACUUAACUCCAGGGUGACUUAGGUUGCCAUUUACUAAUAGGUGCAACUUGUGUGAAAGGAUGAGCAUUUUGAAGAACUGGAUGAAAACUCAGUUGGAAAAGCACAGGAAGCCUCUAAAUGAGAGACAGCUGAGUUGGGACAAGCACACAGAGUGCAGACUUAACUACACCCGUGCAAGGUGCAGUCCUGGUCAAUCAGAGUUAAUAAUAUCGCUCUUCACUGGGGAUGGAGGCUUCAGCCAGUUCAAAAUAGAAUGUCUCCAAACGAGGCAAGGAAAUGCAAGAUGAAGACAGCUCCUUUCAAGGACAGAGAGAUGUGAAGUCUUCUUGGUGAAGCAACACUCAAAUCCCAAGAUCUGACCUGCUUCUACCAAGGUAGAAGAUUCACAAACUUAAACGUUCAAGUCUCUUGCAUGGCUAAUUUUACCUUGGCUUCUGUUUCUCAGAGGACAUGAACGGAGUGAUGCAAAGCUUUUUACCCUGGUGGUGCUAGGAGUGGGUCCCCUCCUUCUUGGUGCCUAAAUGGUCAUGGAAUUUCUAUUAAAUAGCUGGAGAGAAUACCAUGGGAACCUAGAGAGAAGCGGACCUUUAAAAUAUUGUGCUUAUUUAUUUAUCUAUUUGAGACAGAGUGUCGCUGUGUUGCCCAGGCUGGAGUGCAGUGGUGCGAUCUUGGCUCACCUCUGCGUCCUGGGUUCAUGCGAUUCUCCUGCCUCAGCCUCCUGAGUA
rnacentral:lncRNA from 10 species